CCUGAUGCAGCCAUGCCGCGUGUGUGAAGAAGGCCUUCGGGUUGUAAAGCACUUUCAGCAGUGAGGAAGGUGGUGUGCUUAAUACGUACAUCAUUUGACGUUAGCUGCAGAAGAAGCACCGGCUAACUCCGUGCCAGCAGCCGCGGUAAUACGGAGGGUGCGAGCGUUAAUCGGAAUUACUGGGCGUAAAGCGCAUGCAGGUGGUUUGUUAAGUCAGAUGUGAAAGCCCGGGGCUCAACCUCGGAAGGUCAUUUGAAACUGGCAAACUGGAGUACUGUAGAGGGGGGUAGAAUUUCAGGUGUAGCGGUGAAAUGCGUAGAGAUCUGAAGGAAUACCAGUGGCGAAGGCGGCCCCCUGGACAGAUACUGACACUCAGAUGCGAAAGCGUGGGGAGCAAACAGGAUUAGAUACCCUGGUAGUCCACGCCGUAAACGAUGUCUACUUGGAGGUUGCGGUCUUGAACUGUGGCUUUCGGAGCUAACGCGUUAAGUAGACCGCCUGG
rnacentral:rRNA from 1 species